GACGAACGCUGGCGGCGUGGAUUAGGCAUGCAAGUCGGACGGUAGAGCUUUAUCGUAAGAUAGAGUUUGAGAGUGGCGAACGGGUGAGUAACACGUAGGAAUCUACCCUUAAGACGGGGACAACCCAGGGAAACUUGGGCUAAUACCGGAUGUGAGCAACUUUUAGUUGUUUGAAAGGUGGCGUAAGCUGUCGCUUGGGGAUGAGCCUGCGUCCUAUUAGUUAGUUGGUGAGGUAACGGCUCACCUAGGCAAUGAUAGGUAGGCGGCCUUAACGGGUGGUCGCCCACACUGGGAUUGAGAUACGGCCCAGACUCCUACGGGAGGCAGCAGUGGGGAAUAUUGGACAAUGGGCGAAAGCCUGAUCCAGCAAUGCCGCGUGAGUGAUGAAGGCCUUAGGGUUGUAAAGCUCUUUUACCAGGGAUGAUAAUGACAGUACCUGGAGAAUAAGCUCCGGCUAACUCCGUGCCAGCAGCCGCGGUAAGAGUGUGUGUA
rnacentral:rRNA from 1 species